rnacentral:rRNA from 1 species
UCGCCCUGUUUAACAAAAACAUGUCUUAUAGAUUUUUAAUUUUAAGUCUAAUCUGCCCGGUGAUUAAUUAAACGGCCGCAGUAUUCUGACUGUGCGAAGGUAGCAUAAUCGUUUGUCUCUUAAUUGGGGGCUUGUAUGAAUGAUUGGACGAGGGACUGACUUUUUUUAUUUAAUUUUUAUGAAUUUGAUUUUUGAGUUAAAAAGCUUAAAUUUUUUUGCAAGACGAGAAGACCCUAUAGAAUUUUAUUUUUAAUUAAUUACUUACUAUUUGGUUUAUUAACAUUAGGUAGUUUUUUAAGAAUUUUAUGGGGGCGAUAUUGAAAUUAAAAUAACUUUCAUUUAUAAUUUUUCAUUAUUUAAUGUAUUUUUUGAUCCUUUAUUAUGGAUUAUUAGAUUAAAUUACCUUAGGGAUAACAGCGUAAUUUUUUCGGAGAGUUCUUAUCGAUGAAUUAAGUUUGCGACCUCGAUGUUGGAUUAAAGUAAAUUUUUGGUGCAGAAGCUAAAAAAUUGAGUCUUUCGACUCUUAAAUCUUUACAUGAUCUGAGUUCAACCGGA